AUUGAACGCUGGCGGCAGGCCUAACACAUGCAAGUCGAACGGUAACAGGGAUCAGCUUGCUGAUUCGCUGACGAGUGGCGGACGGGUGAGUAAUGUCUGGGAAACUGCCUGAUGGAGGGGGAUAACUACUGGAAACGGUAGCUAAUACCGCAUAACGUCGCAAGACCAAAGAGGGGGACCUUCGGGCCUCUUGCCAUCGGAUGUGCCCAGAUGGGAUUAGCUAGUAGGUGGGGUAACGGCUCACCUAGGCGACGAUCCCUAGCUGGUCUGAGAGGAUGACCAGCCACACUGGAACUGAGACACGGUCCAGACUCCUACGGGAGGCAGCAGUGGGGAAUAUUGCACAGUGGGCGCAAGCCUGAUGCAGCCAUGCCGCGUGUAUGAAGAAGGCCUUCGGGUUGUAAAGUACUUUCAGCGGGGAGGAAGGGAGUAAAGUUAAUACCUUUGCUCAUGGACGUUACCCGCAGAAGAAGCACCGGCUAACUCCGU
rnacentral:rRNA from 1 species